rnacentral:rRNA from 1 species
CUUGCUUUUCCUUUGGUGUAUCAAGUUUUAAAGUUGGUGCUAGUUUUGCCGGUUGCCACAUCUUCAGCGGAGAGAUGCUUUUCAGGAAUGAAUAUUGUCAAGAAUGUAUUGCACAGCAAAAUGGGUGGCGAGUUCAUGAGUGAUUGCCUGAUUUCCUAUGUUAAGAAAGAUAUAUUUUCUACAAUUACAAAUUCUGCUAUGAUUGAUUUAUUUAAGAAGAUGAAAGACCGAGAAGGAAAGUUAUAA